UACAGAGGUGGCAAGCGUUGUUCGGAAUUACUGGGCGUAAAGGGCGCGUAGGCGGCCUUCUAAGUCGGACGUGAAAUCCCCAGGCUUAACUUGGGAACUGCAUCCGAUACUGGAGGGCUUGAGUGCGGGAGAGGGAUGUGGAAUUCCAGGUGUAGCGGUGAAAUGCGUAGAUAUCAGGAGGAACACCGAUGGCGAAAGCGCUCUGCUAGGCCGCAACUGACACUGAGGGACGAAAGCUAGGGGAGCGAAUGGG
rnacentral:rRNA from 1 species